rnacentral:rRNA from 1 species
UCGAGAAUCUUUGGCAAUGGACGAAAGUCUGACCAAGCGACGCCGCGUGCGGGAUGAAGGCCUUCGGGUUGUAAACCGCUGUCGUAGGGAAUCAAAUGUAUUGGGGUACUCCCCUUUACUUGAGAGAUCCUAGGAGGAAGGAGAGGCUAAGCUCGUGCCAGCAGCCGCGGUAAGACGAGCUCUCCAAACGUUAUUCGGUAUCACUGGGCUUAAAGAGUUCGUAGGCGGCUUUGUAGGUGGGGUGUGAAAGCCCUCGGCUCAACCGAGGAACUGCGCUCCAAACCGUAAGGCUUGAGGGAGAUAGGGGUAAGCGGAACAGAUGGUGGAGCGGUGAAAUGCAUUGAUAUCAUCUGGAACACCGGUGGCGAAAGCGGCUUACUGGAUCUUUUCUGACGCUGAGGAACGAAAGCUAGGGUAGCGAACG